CCAGGAUGUCGACAGGAUUUCCUGUUUUGUCCAGCAGGGGGCGCCACUUUGGGUCUUCAAUGUCCUCCAGGAGUGCAGCCAGCUCAGCCUCCAACUUGCCAACAGUGUCCUCCACUUUCUGCAAAAAAUACAGAGGGUGUGUCCAUGAGCACCAACUGAAAAACGAGGGUCCAUCCACCCAAACUCCAUUGUGUCUUAACAAAAAGUGAAACCAUUCUUCGUUGGAAGGUUGCCUACACUUUAGAAGAUAUAUACUUUGGAUCCAACACCAUCCCCUCAGACGAGAGCUGUCCUAUCUAGUCCUUGAGCAUGGACUGUGAAGCCCUCUAUGACAAUCUGAACAAUCGUCACCUUUUCCACCACAUCCAGGCGGUUGUGAAGACUUGCGUGUUCCUGACAUGCACUUGAAGGGGCCGCUCGAGGUGUUCUCUCAGAAUCUGAAAGUCCAACAGAAAAUGCACAUAUCAUUGCAGCCUUUUUCCACCACAGGAAAUUUACUUCCAGAACUUUUGUUAUUGGCCAUCUUGAAGGAACCAAAUUUGUCCCACCUUCACAUGUAGUACUUUUUAGGUUCCUAAAACCUUCAGGCAGGCAUAUCUGAUGUGAUGGCUACUUAGAGCUGUGCAAAUGCAAAUCACACUUGGCCACGGUACCUGGCCCUUUUAGUUCCAGGUACUACUCAUAGAGCAUUCAAACCAUUGUAACU